rnacentral:rRNA from 1 species
CUACGGGGGGCACCAGUAGGGAAUAUUGGACAAUGGGCGAAAGCCUGAUCCAGCAACACCGCGUGCACGAUGACGGCCUUCGGGUUGUAAAGUGCUUUUAGAGGAGAUGAGAAAGGACAGUAUCCUCUGAAUAAGCCUCGGCGAACUACGUGCCAGCAGCCGCGGUAAAACGUAGGAGGCAAGCGUUAUCCGGAUUUAUUGGGCGUAAAGCGCGUGCAGGCGGUCUAGCAAGUUGGAUGUGAAAGCUCCCGGCUCAACUGGGAGAGGUCGUUCAAUACUGUUAGACUAGAGAAUAGAGAGGGAGGUGGAAUUCCGGGUGUAGUGGUGAAAUGCGUAGAUAUCCGGAGGAACACCAGUGGCGAAAGCGGCCUCCUGGACUAUUUCUGACGCUAAGACGCGAAAGCUAGGGUAGCAAACGGGAUUAGAUACCCGCGUAGUC